GCCCGAGUGGGGUAGCUUGGAUAUCCUAGGGGCCUGCGGACAGCCCCGGACCCGGGUUCGAAUCCCGGCUCGGGCA
rnacentral:tRNA from 1 species